rnacentral:rRNA from 1 species
UUCGUAGGCGGUGUAGCAAGUCGGGAGUGAAAUCUUUGGGCUUAACCCAGAGGCUGCUUCCGAAACUGCUGUGCUUGAGUGUGGGAGAGGCGCGUGGAAUUGCAGGUGUAGCGGUGAAAUGCGUAGAUAUCUGCAGGAACACCCGUGGCGAAAGCGGCGCGCUGGACCACUACUGACGCUGAGGAACGAAAGCUAGGGGAGCAAACA